rnacentral:rRNA from 1 species
UCGUCACACUAUCAUUAACUGAAUCCAUAGGUUAAUGAGGCGAACCGGGGGAACUGAAACAUCUAAGUACCCCGAGGAAAAGAAAUCAACCGAGAUUCCCCCAGUAGCGGCGAGCGAACGGGGAGGAGCCCAGAGCCUGAAUCAGCAUGUGUGUUAGUGGAAGCGUCUGGAAAGGCGCGCGAUACAGGGUGACAGCCCCGUACACAAAAGCGCAUGUGCUGUGAGCUCGAUGAGUAGGGCGGGACACGUGGUAUCCUGUCUGAAUAUGGGGGGACCAUCCUCCAAGGCUAAAUACUCCUGACUGACCGAUAGUGAACCAGUACCGUGAGGGAAAGGCGAAAAGAACCCCGGCGAGGGGAGUGAAAAAGAACCUGAAACCGUGUACGUACAAGCAGUGGGAGCACCCUUCGGGGUGUGACUGCGUACCUUUUGUAUAAUGGGUCAGCGACUUAUAUUCUGUAGCAAGGUUAACCGUAUAGGGGAGCCGUAGGGAAACCGAGUCUUAAC